rnacentral:rRNA from 1 species
UCCUACGGGGGGCAGCAGUCGAGAAUUUUUCACAAUGGGCGCAAGCCUGAUGGAGCGACGCCGCGUGGGGGAUGAAUGGCUUCGGCCCGUAAACCCCUGUCAUUUGCGAUCAAACGUUAUUAUUUAAAAGAUGAUGACCUGAUGGUAGCGAAAGAGGAAGGGACGGCUAACUCUGUGCCAGCAGCCGCGGUAAUACAGAGGUCCCAAGCGUUGUUCGGAUUCACUGGGCGUAAAGGGUGCGUAGGUGGUGGGGUAAGUCGGAUGUGAAAUCUCGGAGCUCAACUCCGAAAUGGCAUUGGAAACUGCCCUGCUUGAGGGUCGGAGGGGGGACUGGAAUACUUGGUGUAGCAGUGAAAUGCGUAGAUAUCAAGUGGAACACCAGUGGCGAAGGCGAGUCCCUGGACGACUCCUGACACUGAGGCACGAAAGCUAGGGGAGCAAACAGGAUUAGAUACCCCCGUA